UGGGGAAUAUUGCACAAUGGGGGAAACCCUGAUGCAGCGACGCCGCGUGGAGGAAGAAGGUCUUCGGAUUGUAAACUCCUGUUGUUGAGGAAGAUAAUGACGGUACUCAACAAGGAAGUGACGGCUAACUACGUGCCAGCAGCCGCGGUAAAACGUAGGUCACAAGCGUUGUCCGGAAUUACUGGGUGUAAAGGGAGCGCAGGCGGGCGAUCAAGUUGGAAGUGAAAUCCAUGGGCUCAACCCAUGAACUGCUUUCAAAACUGGUCGUCUUGAGUAGUGCAGAGGUAGGCGGAAUUCCCGGUGUAGCGGUGGAAUGCGUAGAUAUCGGGAGGAACACCAGUGGCGAAGGCGGCCUACUGGGCACCAACUGACGCUGAGGCUCGAAAGUGUGGGUAGCAAACAGGAUUAGAUACCCUGGUAGUCCACACCGUAAACGAUGAUUACUAGGUGUUGGAGGAUUGACCCCUUCAGUGCCGCAGUUAACACAAUAAGUAAUCCACCUGGGGAGUACGACCGCAAGGUUGAAACUCAAAGGAAUUGACGGGGGCCCGCACAAGCAGUGGAGUAUGUGGUUUAAUUCGACGCAACGCGAAGAACCUUACCAAGUCUUGACAUCCCUUGACGAUACUGGAAACAGUAUUUCUCUUCGGAGCAAGGAGACAGGUGGUGCAUGGUUGUCGUCAGCUCGUGUCGUGAGAUGUUGGGUUAAGUCCCGCAACGAGCGCAACCCUUAUGGUCAGUUACUACGCAAGAGGACUCUGGCCAGACUGCCGUUGACAAAACGGAGGAAGGUGGGGAUGACGUCAAAUCAUCAUGCCCUUUAUGACCCGGGCUACACACGUACUACAAUGGCGUAACAGAGGGAAGCAACAUCGCGAGGUGAAGCAAAUCUCUAAAAAACGUCCCAGUUCAGAUUGCAGGCUGCAACUCGCCUGCAUGAAGACGGAAUUGCUAGUAAUCGCAGAUCAGCAUGCUGCGGUGAAUACGUUCCC
rnacentral:rRNA from 1 species